rnacentral:lncRNA from 1 species
GCAUCUUACCAAUCCCAUCAAAAUACACCAUGAUAAUUUAAAAAACUUGGAGUUGCAGUCCUAACAAGUCACAACAAAAUAAAACUCUUUCUCUGCGCAUGCAUGCACGCACAUGCGUGUGCGUGUGUGUGAUGCUUGUCAGCCACAUUCUUGAUAGCUUAGGGUAAACAAAGUAGCAAUAGAUUUAACUUCUUGAUUUCAGUCUCUAGCUAUCUCUAUUUGGAUGCA